rnacentral:rRNA from 1 species
GACGAACGCUGGCGGCGUGCUUAACACAUGCAAGUCGAACGACGUGGCGAACGGGUGAGUAAUACGUGGGUAACCUGCCCUCCUUUUUGGGGUAAGCCUUGGAAACGGGGUCUACUACCGGAUAUAGGGGGAUGGGGCCGGUGCCUAUCAGCUUGUUGGUGGGGUGAUGGCCUACCAAGGCGGUGACGGGUAGCCGGCCUGAGAGGGUGACCGGCAACAUUGGAACUGAGAUACGGCCCAGACUCCUACGGGAGGCAGCAGUGGGGGAUAUUGCACAAUGGGCGAAAGCCUGAUGCAGCGACGCCGCGUGGGGGAUGAAGGCUUUCGGGUUGUAAAGUACUUUCAGCGAGGAGGCGUUACUCGCAGAAGAAGCACCGGCUAACUCCGUGCCAGCAGCCGCGGUAAUAC